rnacentral:rRNA from 1 species
UUGCAGGAAUUCUUUUGCGGAUACUCCCUGAACUUAAGCAUAUCAGUAAGGGAAGGAAAAGAAACCAACUGGGAUUCUGAUAGUAGCGGCGAGCGAACACAGAGAAGCCCUAAUGGUAAGGCUCCUUUAAGGGGCCGUUGUAAUAGCAAGCGGAUAAAUGAUCUGGAAAGAUUAGCCAAAGCGGGUGAUAGCCCCGGACCGUGGCGCAAAGGGUAGAGUAGUGCUGUUUGGUAAUACAGUGUGAAAGGGAGGUAGUAACUUCCAAGGCUAAAUAUAAGUAGACACCGAUAGAGUAGAAGUAGCGCGAGCGAAAUGUGAAAAAAUCUCUUUUAGAGAGUGAAAUAGUGAAAGUACCUAGGCGUAAGCCGAGAAAUUCGGACCCGUAUUGAAACACGGACCAAGGAGACUUUGACUGGAGCGAGGUGAAGGGCGAUAAACCCUGAGCCGAGAUAAAUUAAUUAGUUGCAGUCAUAGGACCCGAAAGGUGGUGAACUAUGCCUGCCGUGAUUGAAGUCAGGAUAAAUUCUGAUGGAGGAUCUAAGCCGUAUUGAUGUUCAACUCAUUGGCAGGAGGUGGGCAUAGGGGCGAAAGACCAAUCGAACCACCUGGUAGCUGGUUCUAGCCGAAAUGUCUCGUAGGACAGCGGUGCCGAAGUGCAGGAGGAUGUCGUAGAGAGGAUGUAGGUGUAACCAACAAACUCCGAAGGCGUCUGUUGUGUCGCGAGUGAUCCGACACAACGAUCUGAGAGGCACCAGUGGGCGCCUUGUGGUAAGCAGGAGGCGCAAGAUGGGAUGAACCAUGAGGGGAGAUAAGCUGCCAAAAGCAGAACAGAGAGCCCAUAAAGGUGGUAGCCAAAUUAAGACAGUGGGGCGGUGGCCAUGGAAGUCGGCAUCCGCUAAGAAACGUGUUACAACGUACCCAUCGAAUUUGGGACUACCGAAAAUGGAUGGCGCUAAUCUGCGGAGCGAUGCUCCUAAGGGGAACCCUAGUAGGCUAGCGCGAGGAUGACAGUGAAGGCUAUGCGUGAGCGUUGUUGGAGUCAUUCUCGGUGCAGAUCUUGGAGGUAGUAGCAUCACAGAUGUGUGCCUGUGGAGGCGGGUUUGUCCUUUGGAUCGAAGGAAGUGAUACGGCCCUAUUAAAAGGGAAGCACAUAGAUAUUUGUGCGAAUCUGCCCUAAGUGGUGACACGAUUAUGACUCUGCCGUAGUUGAGAAUGGUGUUAAUUUGCCAUUCUCACUAUACUCUAGAAUGUCAUAUUAAGAUGGAGUAUUAGGCAGGCGUUGAAAAGGAUGGGCAGUUGCCGUACCGAACCGCAUCAGGACUCCGAGGGUUAGAAGCCCAAGGCAUAAGUCAAAGUAGGUAAGGGAAGUCGGCAAAAUAGAUGAGUAACCUCGGGAGAAUUAUUGGCUCUGGCGUGCCAGAACUGGGCUAACAAGGGGAAUCUGACUGUUUAAUAAAAACAUAGCUUUGUGUCGAUGCAAAGUGAAUUCUGCCCAGUGCUUGGGACGUUAAGGAAGUUAUUUUAAGUACGCACUUGUAAACGGCGGGAGUAACUAUGACUCUCUUAAGGUAGCCAAAUGCCUCGUCGUCUAAUUAGCGACGCGCAUGAAUGGAGCAACGAGAUUCCCACUGUCCCUACCUACUGCUUUGCGAACCAACAGCCAAGGGAACGGGCUUGGGAUAUGCAGCGGGGAAAGAAGACCCUGUUGAGCUUGACUCUAGUCAAGUACAGCCCUCUAUUUGCUUGUCGUAGCGAGGUGGGUUAUUGUGUGAGACCACUGACAUCCGUAAUGGAGGUGCUUCUAAAACUUGAUGGGGAGUUUGACUGGGGCGGUACGACUGCUAAACUAUAACGCAGACGUCCAAAGGUAAGCUCAGGGAGGAUGGAAACCCCCCAGAGAGCACAAGGGCAAAUGCUUGCUUUAGCUUGCUGCAUGCGCAGCAAGUACUGGAAACAGCGGCCUAGAGAUCCUCCACCAUCACUAGGGGUGGAGGUGACGGAAAAGUUACCACAGGGAUAACUGGCUUGUGGCGGCCGAGCGUCCGCAGCGACGCCGCUUUUUGAUUCUUCGAUGUCGGUUCUUCCGAGUAUGGUGAUGCAUCGCUCACCAAGUAUAUGAUUGUUCACCAACUAACAGGGAACGUGAACUGGGUUUAGACCGUCGCGAGACAGGUUAGUUUUACCCUACUGCGAUGUAUUGAAGAGUAGAUCAGAACAGUACGAGAGGAAGCACCGAUCAGGACCACUGGUACCGCCCUCGUCUGUUAAGGCGCGGGGCACAGCUACGUCCUUCUUGUAACAGCUGAAAGCCUCUAAGCUGGAAUAAGUACUUAACAAUACCAAUGUGUGAAGACGACUCACGCGGGGACGGGGGCUGUACGGCAUGAGCUUAUUGCGAGUGCUUCAGGCCGCCCGAUCCUCAACUUUUUUA